GUGGACUUUCCUCUCAGAAGCACUGCCAUUGCAUGAUCCAGCAAUGUACUUUGGCUGAACAACACUUUGGCAUCAAUCUCCUGUAUGUUGGACCCUCUCCUGCUUUUUUCUAACAUGAAAUGUUUCCUUUUGGGAAGCUCUCUGAGAAUCACAUGCCCUGCAACCUCCACUAUAUUCCCUGGUAGCCGGUACAUGGCACAGUGUAAUAGAAGGAAUCCCAACAAUAGAGAAGAAAGUGACCCUCCCUGUACUGUGGUCAGCAACAGAGCUCAAGGCCAGACUGACGUGUCUGCAGAGUGAGGAGGUCACUGAGCUGAUUCUGUAAGGACCCCUGCCAAAACCCGAUAAAUCAGAUACAAAUCAUGCAUGCAACAGAGUGUUUUCAUUUACUUUCCUGUUCAUCAUUCUUGCUGUUGGUCUCAUCUGCACAUUCCUGGCCACAGAAGAACAUGAGUUUACUUGGCUUCUUCUUUGCAAGUCUCAGAAGAAACUUCCCAUAGACAAAUUAAAACAAGCACUGGUCUUUGAAACCAUUAUUUUUCAUAAUGAGCCCCUAAGGCAGCUUUAUUACACAAGUAUUUGCAUAACCUCUCAUCAACUUAACCAAUGCUUAUCACCUCAGUUCAAUGUGUACCAAACUGAAAUACAUAUCCCAAACAGUAUCGCACUUCUAACACACAC
rnacentral:lncRNA from 1 species